GGUGUAGCGGUGGAAUGCGCAGAUAUCAGGAGGAACACCAAUGGCGAAGGCAGGUCUCUGGGCCAAUACUGACACUGAGGAGCGAAAGUCUGGGGAGCGAACAGGAUUAGAUACCCUGGUAGUCCAGACCGUAAACGGUGGGCACUAGUUGUGGGAACCUUCCACGGUUUCUGCGACGCAGCUAACGCAUUAAGUGCCCCGCCUGGGGAGUACGAUCGCAAGAUUAAAACUCAAAGGAAUUGACGGGGCCCCGCACAAGCAGCGGAGCAUGCGGCUUAAUUCGACGCAACGCGAAGAACCUUACCAAGGCUUGACAUAUAGGGAAAAGUGGCAGAGAUGUCAUGUCCGCAAGGGCUCUAUACAGGUGGUGCAUGGUUGUCGUCAGCUCGUGUCGUGAGAUGUUGGGUUAAGUCCCGCAACGAGCGCAACCCUCGUUCUGUGUUGCCAGCAUUUAGUUGGGGACUCACAGGAGACUGCCGGGGUUAACUCGGAGGAAGGUGGGGAUGACGUCAAAUCAUCAUGCCCCUUAUGUCUUGGGCUGCACGCAUGCUACAAUGGCCGGUACAGAGGGCUGCAAUACCGUAAGGUGGAGCGAAUCCCAAAAAGCCGGUCUCAGUUCGGAUUGAGGUCUGCAACUCGACCUCAUGAAGUUGGAGUUGCUAGUAAUCGUAGAUCAGCAUCGCUACGGUGAAUACGUUCCCGGGGCUUGUACACACCGCCCGUCACGUCACGAAAGUCGGUAACACCCAAAGUCAGUGGCCCAACCGCAAGG
rnacentral:rRNA from 1 species